GCAUAAUCUGUAGAUAGGGAACUAGCGCUAGCUAGUGGCACUUGUACAUGCACUACUGCCCUUUUCUCCUCUCUUCUAGCUGUUGUGCUCCAUGAAUUCUAACGUGGAUUCCCAUCAGCCUUACACAUGAUGAUCCUAUGAAUUCAUUAACUAGCUGAGCAAGAGAGGGAGAGGAGA